CCUGCCAAGUGUACAAAAAUAAUUGGGAGGAUCAGCAACAUAGCAAGCCGGUUUGCAUCACAGCAGCCACGGGUGUGCAUUCCAUUCACCACCAUUAGGAAUCAUCCUGCCACGAAGGGAGGUUAUUUCAGACACUGACCUGGAAGCAGCACCCGUGCCAGAGGGAAUGAGGCAGAGCCUGUUUCAGAGGCAGAUGUGGGCUGAGGGGUGUGCAACGGCACGGCAGAAGCUGGGAUGAUGGCAAGUCCUCAAGUUAUAUUCCUGGCUUUGAAAAAAUGUUCCACCGAAACAGCCAUGGAUGCUCAUUCCACCACGUGUAUUUGUGCUCUGAUGCUGUGCAGAGUUAAAGAACAGCCGAAUCUUUGGUAGGAUAUGUGAGGGUUUCUUUUCUCACCUGCUGAUAUCAAGUAUCUGAACUAAAAAAAGAGUGGUGCUGUUAUUUGGGAGCAAAACAGGCUGUUUGAGAGGCAAAAGCAGUGCUUGUGUUUUGCAAACUUCAGCAAGAAAUGUAACGUUUUCACACCAAGACACACAUCAGGCGAGUAAACUGGAUAAAACCCCCAGUCAUGUUUUUGUGAUGGAAGUGUGUAAUUUUCACAAUUGAGAUAUUUUCACAAUUGAGAUAUAUGAUAUUUAGAAAUCCAUAACUUUUUAGGGAGAAGGUCGGAAAGCAUACAUUUGAGGUUCCUGUGCAAUUAUUAUAUAAUCUUUCCUGUCAAUAACCUGAAUUGUCAUUGCACAUGUAAUUAACAGAGUGAAAGUCCUAUUUUGCAAAUAAUUGGGAUUUAUAUGUUAAACAGGAAAAGAGCCUUGUUUCAGCUAGCAGGCUGCUUCUUUUUCUCUGUGCAGAAUUAGUUUAGCACGUCAAUCUCCUAUUCGUGCGUGAAAAAGGAUGGAAUCACAGAUGCACAAAAAAGGACGCAAACAGUUAAGGCAGCCUUUGCCUGCAGUACAAGUAUGUCUGGACUGCCUCUUGAUGAAGUUUCUUGGAGAUCAUUUGUGUUCAUAGUGUGUUAUUUUGAUUCCUAUUGCUGCAGCCUUCUAACUGUGCCAUCAUAAAUGAAUAGUUUUUAAUAUAUCUUGUAAAAUACUCCUGAAAAUUCUCCUUGUGACUGCAAUUUUUUGACAGAGGUUGCAGCUUGCUUUGAUCACAGACUACACAGAAACCUUUGUACCAGUGCAGGCAAUGAAAUGUGGACUAAGUCAUUGCUCUGGUGGUUUUAAUACUUGACAUUUGUUGGGUGGAAGAAAAAGAACCUCUGAGUUGGGAGAAAAUCCAUGGGACAUUCUGAUCUAUAGGAACUGCAUGGAUAAAGAACCCCAGGAGUCCUUUACUCUCUUGGACAAUGUUUUAUUUUUGUUUCUAGCUUAGGAAUGGUUUUGUACGUUACUUAUAAACUGGAAUUUAAAUCGUAUGCACAUGUGAAACAAUGUGAGUUUUAAAGAAAAUAGAGUUCUAUCUUAUAUAAGCUGUCUGAUGCCACAUGAACAAAGUAGUCCAGUGUUGGUCGUGGUUUGCAUUAAUGCCUGUUAACCCCAGCUCUUUUGUAAAACACUGAUGUGGAAGCUCCCUUCCCUGCCUUUGGAAUCGAAAAGAGAAUUAGCAAAGCAAUAGGGAGCACAUGAGGGAAUGAAGCCUUGGCAAAACCAGCCUGUUUUCCUAGCAAUACCCCAAACACAAUCCUACCAGCACUCUGCAUGUCCUCCUGCAAAGGUUAGAGGAAAGGGGAGUGUGCUGUUUAUCAAAGCCUCUCCCAUCUGCUUGGGGUAGAUUGCUUUGCCCUUCAGAAACUGAUAAUUAAACCACCACUAACCUGGGGGCUGUUUAGUGCCCUGGACCACCCAAGAGGUGGGUGUGGGAGCCAUUUUUUUAAGGAAGAUACACAAAUGCACCCAUCUCACAAUCCUGCAGCUUUACAGGUAAGAGAGGCCUUGGAAAGACAGACGCUAAUGAUUCUCUCAGCAAAUAAAAACUGCUCCCAGUCGCAUGGCUUUGUUUGUGCAGUGGUUGAAUAUUAUCUAAAUUACAGAUAGGAGAGGGUGGCUGGCUAGACCAGCAGUCUUUUGUCCAAAUUCUUGUUUCCCUUGCGCCUUCCCUCUGCCUCAGGCAGCCAUGAAAAUCCUGGUGCCAAUUUCACCCCACCAUCACUUUGAGUAAUAUCAGAGGAGGAAACCAUGUUUGAAGUUUGUCACCUGGAGCUGCUCCAAAGUGGAAAGACUGCUGGGGACACACUGGGAGAGGGGACACCUGGUACAUUUAGGGGCCUGUUCUUGCAGAGCAAAGUGACUACAUUUGACAGCAUGUGCUGUAAGACCUCAAAUCCGAGGGUUAGCAGCAUGGCACAGGGUGAAGAACAGUUGUCUCUUGCCUCACCAGGUUUAUUUUCCAUUGACUUGAAGGGUUAUGCCUUACCUUGCCUCUUCCUUUACUUUCAGUUUCUUAAUAGAGGACAUAGCAAUCAGUCAAUUUAGUUUUAAUUAUGUGAGGGAGGGGUAGAAGGAGAGGACUGAAUACUGCAGACCACAGAGAACAUUUUUCCGCUUACUACUUAUUUGUUGGUAAUUACUAACCCUUUACACUGAAGGGCUUUCCAGGCACCUGGAUGAUUUGCAUUCAUUAAAACAGCGUAGCAUUUCCAUUCUCCA